rnacentral:rRNA from 1 species
CUCUUGACAUCCACGGAAUUUAGCAGAGAUGCUUUAGUGCCUUCGGGAACCGUGAGACAGGUGCUGCAUGGCUGUCGUCAGCUCGUGUUGUGAAAUGUUGGGUUAAGUCCCGNAACGAGCGCAACCCUUUAUCCUUUGUUGCCAGCGGUUCGGCCGGGAACUCAAAGGAGACUGCCAGUGAUAAACUGGAGGAAGGUGGGGAUGACGUCAAGUCAUCAUGGCCCUUACGAGUAGGGCUACACACGUGCUACAAUGGCGUAUACAAAGAGAAGCGACCUCGCGAGAGCAAGCGGACCUCAUAAAGUACGUCGUAGUCCGGAUUGGAGUCUGCAACUCGACUCCAUGAAGUCGGAAUCGCUAGUAAUCGUGGAUCAGAAUGCUACGGUGAAUACGUUCCCGGGCCUUGUACACACCGCCCGUCACACCAUGGGAGUGGGUUGCAAAAGAAGUAGGUAGCUUAACCUUCGGGAGGGCGCUUACCACUUUGUGAUUCAUGACUGGGGUGAAGUCGUAACAAGGUAAGCGUAGAUGA